rnacentral:misc_RNA from 1 species
UAUCACAAAAUGUCAAAACUGUUUGAUACCACAUUAAACUGCAUUUCCAUCUUAUUGAGACAUAGAACAAGCACUAGAGUAAAAAUAAGCCCUUAUUAUCGUUAUUUGUAUCAUGAUAUAAGAACAUAACAAAUAAAUUUAAAGUUAAUGACUUUUCAUGUAAGUCUCAUAUGCCAAUUGAGCUGUGAUAAGAUCCACAACAGCAGAACCAACUGAUUUAAAGACCGUAAUUUCUUCAGCAGUUGUUCUCCCAUUCUUUUCUCCCUUGAUCAAUUCCAACAAGUCCCCAACAAUAUCAUCUCUUGUAAUUGCCCCUCUCUCAAAUGCACCCACAAGCUCCCCUGCUUCUACCAUAGCAGCUUCAUUAUCAACAAACACUUUUCCCCUCUUCAACGCUUCAUCGUCGCAUUCUCUCAUCGAAUGCUUAAACGAUCCAACCAAAUCCAAAUGCGCUCCUUCUUUAAGCUUCUUCCCUUUCACCAAUGGUGUCCCUGAAUUCGUAGCACAGCUCACAAUAUCUCCCAACCCCACAACUUCCUCAAGAGAUGCAUUACUCUCAAAACUCACCCCUUCAAAACUAGCUUCACUUUGCAAAUUCUCGAUCACCCGCUUCGCCUUAUCAGCAGUUCGAUUCCACACUAUGACUUUCUUCAAAUUUGGCCUAACUGUCAGAUGUGCCUUGAUCAAAUGCGGCGCUAAAGUACCUGCACCGAUCAUCAAAAGGGUCUCUGAAUCUUGUCUUGAUAAGAAUUUUGAAGCUAAAGCGGAGGUGCAAGCAGUUCGAUAGACUGUGAGUUCAGUGGCAUCCAUUGUGGAUAAAGUUUGUCCGGUAAUGGAAUUGAAAAGAACAUAACUGGCAUGAACCCCAGGUAAAUUUUGGGUUGAGUUAUUGGGAUGAUAAGUGACUAGCUUGACUCCGAUAUAAGGAAGUGAAGGGGCACGAGACCAACAAGGCAUGAGGAGGAGAGAGGUAGAAGGGCUUGUUUGAUGAGCAUGGCGAAGUGGGGAUUCAGUGGUGGAAGCGAAGGUAGGGAGUGAAAAUUGGAGGUGGUCGACGAGGGAUUUGUGGGUCAAAAGGGUGUGGAGAGUGGCGGUGGAGAUGAAGAUUGGAGGUGGUGUUGCCAUGGUGGAUUGGGGGAAAAAUGGAAUUGGACUUUGUAGGAGGAGAAAUGGGCAUUUACUUACACAAAUGGCCACUAUUUACAA